UACGAAGGGUGCAAGCGUUACUCGGAAUUACUGGGCGUAAAGCGUGCGUAGGUGGUUCGUUAAGUCUGAUGUGAAAGCCCUGGGCUCAACCUGGGAAUGGCAUUGGAUACCGGCGACCUAGAGUGCGGUAGAGGGGUGUGGAAUUCCCGGUGUAGCAGUGAAAUGCGUAGAUAUCGGGAGGAACAUCUGUGGCGAAGGCGACACCCUGGACCAGCACUGACACUGAGGCACGAAAGCGUGGGGAGCAAACAGG
rnacentral:rRNA from 1 species